UACGGAGGGUGCAAGCGUCAAUCGGAAUUACUGGGCGUAAAGGGUGCGUAGGUGGUUUAUUAAGUUAUCUGUAAAAUCCCCGGGCUUAACCUGGGCAGGUCAGAUAAGACUGGUAGACUCGAGUAUUGGAGAGGGUAGUGGAAUUUCCGGUGUAGCGGUGAAAUGCGUAGAGAUCGGAAGGAACACCAGUGGCGAAGGCGGCUACCUGGCCAGAUACUGACACUGAGGCACGAAAGCGUGGGGAGCAAACAGG
rnacentral:rRNA from 1 species